rnacentral:lncRNA from 8 species
CACACACACACACACACACACACACACACACACACACACACACACACACACACACACACACAGAUCUAGAAUCAAUGACAAGCUAUCAACAUUCACAGUUAUGUUGGAUCCUCUGAAGUUCAGCAGUCAACAUCUAUCAUUAUCACUGUCUGUCAACAUCUAUCACUAUCACUGUCUGUCAACAUCUAUAUAUCACUGUCUGUCAACAUCUAUCAUUAUCACUCUGUCAACAUCUAUCACUAUCACUGUCUGUCAACAUCUAUAUAUCACUGUCUGUCAACAUCUAUCAUUAUCACUGUCUGUCAACAUCUAUCACUAUCACUGUCUGUCAACAUCUAUAUAUCACUGUCUGUCAACAUCUAUAUAUCACUGUCUGUCAACAUCUAUCAUUAUCACUGUCUGUCAACAUCUAUCAAUAUCACUGUCUGUCAACAUCUAUCAUUAUCGCGGUCUGUCAACAUCUAUAUAUCGCUGUCUGUCAACAUCUAUCAUUAUCACUGUCUGUCAACAUCUAUAUAUCACUGUCUGUCAACAUCUAUCAUUAUCACUGUCUGUCAACAUCUAUAUAUCACUGUCUGUCAACAUCUAUCAUUAUCGCUGUCUGUCAACAUCUAUCAUUAUCGCUGUCUGUCAACAUCUGUCAUUAUCGCUGUCUGUCAACAUCUGUCAUUAUCGCUGUCUGUCAACAUCUAUCAUUAUCACUGUCUGUUAACAUCUGUCAUUAUCACUGUCUGUCAACAUCUGUCAUUAUCACUGUCUGUCAACAUCUAUCAUUAUCUCAGUCUGUCAACAUCUAUCAUUAUCACUGUCUGUCAACAUCUGUCAUUAUCACUGUCUGUCAACAUCUGUCAUUAUCACUGUCUGUCAACAUCUAUCAUUAUCACUGUCUGUCAACAUCUAUCAUUAUCUCAGUCUGUCAACAUCUAUCAUUAUCACUGUCUGUCAACAUCUAUCAUUAUCACUGUCUGUCAACAUCUAUCAUUAUCUCAGUCUGUCAACAUCUAUCAUUAUCACUGUCUGUCAACAUCUAUCAUUAUCUCAGUCUGUCAACAUCUAUCAUUAUCACUGUCUGUCAACAUCUAUCAUUAUCGCAGUCUGUCAACAUCUACUGUCCUUUCUCCAGGACGUUCAGAAGUGCUGAAGAUGAGUCCAAAGCUGAUCUGGGGUCCUGUAAGAACCAAUGUCCUAAACAGGUAACAGGUACACCUCUCUGUCUCUGUUAAAGUCCUCUCUCUCUCUGGGUCUCUCUCUGGGUCUCUCCCUCUCUGUCUCUCUAAAGUCCUCUCUCUCUCUGGGUCUCUGUAAAGUCCUCUCUCUCUGGGUCUCUAAAGUCCUCUCUCUCUGGGUCUCUCUCUCUCUGGGUCUCUCUCUGGGUCUCUCUCUGGGUCUCUCUCUCUGUCUCUCUAAAGUCCUCUCUCUCUGGGUCUCUCUCUGGGUCUCUCUCUGGGUCUCUCUCUCUGUCUCUCUAAAGUCCUCUCUCUCUCUGUCUAGUAGUGUGACUGUUAACCCCAGUAUUCCUGGGUGGGUAGUGUGACUGUUAACCCCAGUAUUCCUGGGUGGGUAGUGUGACUCUGUUAACCCCAGUAUUCCUGGGUGGGUAGUGUGACUCUGUUAACCCCAGUAUUCCUGGGUGGGUAGUGUGACUGUUAACCCCAGUAUUCCUGGGUGGGUAGUGUGACUGUUAACCCCAGUAUUCCUGGGUGGGUAGUGUGACUGUUAACCCCAGUAUUCCUGGGUGGGUAGUGUGACUCUGUUAACCCCAGUAUUCCUGGGUGGGUAGUGUGACUCUGUUAACCCCAGUAUUCCUGGGUGGGUAGUGUGAGUCUGUUAACCCCAGUAUUCCUGGGUGGGUAGUGUGACUGUUAACCCCAGUAUUCCUGGGUGGGUAUUGUGACUCUGUUAACCCCAGUAUUCCUGGGUGGGUAGUGUGACUCUGUUAACCCCAGUAUUCCUGGGUGGGUAGUGUGACUCUGUUAACCCCAGUAUUCCUGGGUGGGUAGUGUGACUGUUAACCCCAGUAUUCCUGGGUGGGUAGUGUGACUCUGUUAACCCCAGUAUUCCUGGGUGGGUAGUGUGACUGUUAACCCCAGUAUUCCUGGGUGGGUAGUGUGACUCUGUUAACCCCAGUAUUCCUGGGUGGGUAGUGUGACUCUGUUAACCCCAGUAUUCCUGGGUGGGUAGUGUGACUCUGUUAACCCCAGUAUUCCUGGGUGGGUAGUGUGACUCUGUUAACCCCAGUAUUCCUGGGUGGGUAGUGUGACUGUUAACCCCAGUAUUCCUGGGUGGGUAGUGUGACUCUGUUAACCCCAGUAUUCCUGGGUGGGUAGUGUGACUCUGUUAACCCCAGUAUUCCUGGGUGGGUAGUGUGACUCUGUUAACCCCAGUAUUCCUGGGUGGGUAGUGUGACUGUUAACCCCAGUAUUCCUGGGUGGGUAGUGUGACUCUGUUAACCCCAGUAUUCCCCCUCAGAUCAGAGAGGGAGAGAGAGGGAGAGAGAGAGGGAGAGAGAGGGGG